GACGAACGCUGGCGGCAGGCCUAACACAUGCAAGUCGAGCGCCCCGCAGGGGGAGCGGCGGACGGGUGAGUAACGCGUGGGAAUCUGCCCUUUGGUUCGGAACAACCCAGGGAAACUUGGGCCAAUACCGGAUAAGCCCUUACGGGGAAAGAUUCAUCGCCGAAGGAUCGGCCCGCGUCUGAUUAGCUAGUUGGUGGGGUAAUGGCCCACCAAGGCGACGAUCAGUAGCUGGUCUGAGAGGAUGAUCAGCCUCACUGGGACUGAGACACGGCCCAGACUCCUACGGGAGGCAGCAGUGGGGAAUAUUGGACAAUGGGCGCAAGCCUGAUCCAGCCAUGCCGCGUGGGUGAUGAAGGCCCUAGGGUUGUAAAGCCCUUUCGGCGGGGAAGAUAAUGACGGUACCCGCAGAAGAAGCCCCGGCUAACUUCGUGCCAGCCGCCGCAGUAAAAC
rnacentral:rRNA from 1 species